UACGUAGGUGGCAAGCGUUGUCCGGAUUUACUGGGCGUAAAGAGCGCGCAGGCGGUCAGAUAAGUCGAAUGUGAAAGCCCCCGGCUCAACUGGGGAGGGUCAUUCGAUACUGUUCGACUCGAAGGCAGGAGAGGGAAGUGGAAUUCCCGGUGUAGUGGUGAAAUGCGUAGAGAUCGGCAGGAACACCCAGGGGGAAACCAGUCGACUGGGCAUCUACUGACGCUGAGGUGCGAGAGCGUGGGGAGCGAACCGG
rnacentral:rRNA from 1 species